rnacentral:rRNA from 1 species
UAACGAUGUCGACUUGGAGGUUGUGGCUUCCGGAGCUAACGCGUUAAGUCGACCGCUGGGGAGUACGGCCGCAAGGUUAAACUCAAAUGAAUUGACGGGGGCCCGCACAAGCGGUGGGCAGUGGUUUAAUUCGAUGCAACGCGAAGAACUUACCUGGUCUUGACAUCCAGGUGCUGCAUGGCUGUCGUCAGCUCGUGUUGUGAAAUGUUGGGUUAAGUCCCGCAACGAGCGCAACCCUUAUCCUUUGUUGCAACUCAAAGGAGACUGCCAGUGAUAAACUGGAGGAAGGUGGGGAUGACGUCAAGUCAUCAUGGCCCUUACGACCAGGGCUACACACGUGCUACAAUGGCGCAUACAAAGAGAAGCGACCUCGCGAGAGCAAGCGGACCUCAUAAAGUGCGUCGUAGUCCGGAUUGGAGUCUGCAACUCGACUCCAUGAAGUCGGAAUCGCUAGUAAUCGUGGAUCAGAUGCCACGGUGAAUACGUUCCCGGGCCUUGUACACACCGCCCGUCACACCAUGGGAGUGGGUUGCAAAAGAAGUAGGUUACCACUUUGUGAUUCAUGACUGGGGUGAAGUCGUAACAAGUAACGAAG